rnacentral:siRNA from 1 species
GAGCAAGGUCUUACAAACCGAGAC